AGCAGCCGCGGUAAUUCCAGCUCCAAUAGCGUAUAUUAAAGUUGUUGCAGUUAAAAAAGCUCGUAGUUGAAUUUCGGGAUCAAAUUGUCGGUCGUGCCUCGGUACGAACUGGUAUUAUUGGUUCCUACCUUCUGAAGAACCGCGAUGUCAUUAAUUUGGUGUCGUGGGGAAUCAGGACUGUUACUUUGAAAAAAUUAGAGUGUUUAAAGCAGGCUCGCGCUUGAAUACAUUAGCAUGGAAUAAUGAAAUAGGACGUUUGAUUCUAUUUUGUUGGUUUCUAGGAUCGACGUAAUGAUUAAUAGGGAUAGUUGGGGGCAUUAGUAUUCAAUUGUCAGAGGUGAAAUUCUUGGAUUUAUUGAAGACUAACUACUGCGAAAGCAUUUGCCAAGGAUGUUUUCAUUAAUCAAGAACGAAAGUUAGGGGAUCGAAGACGAUCAGAUACCGUCGUAGUCUUAACCCAUAAACUAUGCCGACUAGGGAUCGGAUGAUGUUAAUUUUUAAUGACUCAUUCGGCGCCUUA
rnacentral:rRNA from 1 species